GAUAAACGCUGGCGGCGUGCAUAACACAUUCAAGUCGAACGGGAAUCAGUGAGUGGAGACUUCGGUCAAAGCGAGCUGAGGAUAGUGGCGGACGGGUGAGUAACGCGUGAGCAACCUGCCUUCAUGAGGGGGAUAACAGUUGGAAACGACUGCUAAUACCGCAUGAUGUAUUUCGAGGGCAUCCUUGAAAUACCAAAGAUUUUAUCGCUGAAAGAUGGGCUCGCGUCUGAUUAGUUAGUUGGUGGGGUAACGGCCUACCAAGACUACGAUCAGUAGCCGGACCUGAGAGGUUGAACGGCCACAUUGGGACUGAGAUACGGCCCAGAC
rnacentral:rRNA from 1 species